GCCGGCAGCUAGCUCUCUGCAACUCUCACAUGGUCGCCCACUGAAGCUAAGCAGGGCUGUGCCCGGUCAGUACCUGGAUGGGAGACCACAUGGGAAAGCUAGGUUGCUGCUGGAA
rnacentral:rRNA from 1 species